CGGGUGAGUAACGUGUGGGCAACCUGCCCUGCACUGGGGAAUAAUCAUUGGAAACGAUGACUAAUACCGCACACGGUUCCUGGGAGGCAUCUUCCGGGAAAGAAAGGAUUUAUUCGGUGCAGGAUGGGCCCGCAUCUGAUUAGCUAGUUGGUGAGAUAACAGCCCACCAAGGCGACGAUCAGUAGCCGACCUGAGAGGGUGACCGGCCACAUUGGGACUGAGACACGGCCCAAACUCCUACGGAAGGCAGCAG
rnacentral:rRNA from 1 species